CCACAGCGGAGGAUUUGUUUCAGCUGUGCAGCUCUGGGUUCAGCAGCUGGACUUUAGUUGUUGACUCUGAGUCUGAAGGUCGCUCAAACAUCUGACUGUGAAGCUGACAGGACACCUCUGUCCAGUCGUCCACCUCCACCGCUGCUCCACACCUCACCGUCGAAGCAGUUCACCUUCAGCAGGAACUGGUUUGAUUGGCCGAGGCUGCUGCAGCCAAAGAGACGAGAAGCGGUGGAGCUGUGCCACAGAAGAAGAAGAAGAAGGGACCAACAAAGAAGAGCACAGAGCGAGACCAGCUGAGGUCCAACUGACCAACACAGACCUCCAGGACCUCCAGGACCAUGUCUUCAUCACCGAGCAGAUCUGACCUCAGACCAUCUGGACUCAAACGUUUCUGUUUGUGGCUCCAUCACUGCUCCUCCUACCCUCCUCCUCCUCCUCCUCUUCCUCUCCCUCUCACGUAUACCGCCCCCCCCCCUCCAGCAGUGUCUCGGUAUCGCCUCCUGCUGGCCGCCCUGCUGCUCUGCAGUCUGCUGCUGAUGCUGCUGCUCCUCCUGUGGAACUACAACUGUCUGUUCAUCUCCCGAAUCUGCUCCCCACCGGGGGAGGAGGCAGGGGAGGAGGGCGGGGGAGGGUCAUGAGCUGGCAGUGAAGGUGACACCUUCUGAAACCUUCUGACCCGGUUCAGAGGUCCAAAUAUCUGCAGAUACAUUUCCCAUAAUGCAGCUGGAUAGUGUCUUUACUAGCACUAUUAUGUAAGAUGUUUGUCGACUGGUGACAUCACUGUGACAUCAUGAGGGAGUGCAAAAUUUGGUGGAAUGUUUCAGAAUAAAAGUUCUUUCUGUCUGCUGAA